AUUGAACGCUGGCGGAAUGCUUUACACAUGCAAGUCGAACGGCAGCACGGACUUCGGUCUGGUGGCGAGUGGCGAACGGGUGAGUAAUACAUCGGAACGUGCCCAGUCGUGGGGGAUAGCGUAGCGAAAGCUACGCUAAUACCGCAUACGAUCUAAGGAUGAAAGCGGGGGAUCGCAAGACCUCGCGCGAUUGGAGCGGCCGGUGGCAGAUUAGGUAGUUGGUGGGGUAAAGGCUCACCAAGCCGACGAUCUGUAGCUGGUCUGAGAGGACGACCAGCCACACUGGGACUGAGACACGGCCCAGACUCCUACGGGAGGCAGCAGUGGGGAAUUCUGGACAAUGGGCGCAAGCCUGAUCCAGCCAUUCCGCGUGCAGGAUGAAGGCCCUCGGGUUGUAAACUGCUUUUGUACGGAACGAAAAGGCUCUGGUUAAUACCUGGGGCUCAUGACGGUACCGUAAGAAUAAGCACCGGCUAACUACGUGCCAGCAGCCGCCGUAA
rnacentral:rRNA from 1 species